UGGAGGCAGCAGUGGGGAAUUUUGCGCAAUGGGCGAAAGCCUGACGCAGCGACGCCGCGUGAGGGAAGAAGGUUUUCGGAUCGUAAACCUCUGUCGGGGGGGAAGAAACUCCGGGUGGCUAAUACCCAUCCGGAUUGACGGUACCCCCUAAGGAAGCAUCGGCUAACUACGUGCCAGCAGCCGCGGUAAUACGUAGGAUGCAAGCGUUGCUCGGAAUUAUUGGGUGUAAAGGGCGCGUAGGUGGCCUGAUAAGUCAUAGGUGAAAGCCCUCGGCUUAACCGAGGAAUUGCCUAUGAUACUGUCGGGCUUGAGUACUGGAGAGGGGAGUGGAAUUCCUGGUGUAGCGGUGAAAUGCGUAGAUAUCAGGAGGAACACCGGUGGCGAAGGCGGCUCCCUGGACAGAUACUGACACUGAGGCGCGAAAGCGUGGGUAGCAAACAGGAUUAGAUACCCCGGUAGU
rnacentral:rRNA from 1 species